rnacentral:rRNA from 1 species
UAACAAUGAUUCCCCUAGUAACUGCGAGUGAAGAGGGACAAGCUCAAAUUUUAAAUCCGCGGGUUUCUGACCGAGUUGUAAUUUGAAGAGCGUUUCCGCGUUUUGUAGUCCAAGUCCUUUGGGAUAGGGCAUCAUGGAGGGUGAGAAUCCCGUUCGGCUGAUCAGUCGCUCUACGAUACGUCACUAAGAGUCAAGUUGUUUGGGAAUGCAGCUUAAAUGGGAGGUAAAUUUCUCCUAAGGCUAAUAACGGCGAGAGACCGAUAGCGAACAAGUACCGUGAGGGAAAGAUGAAAGAACUUUGAAAGAGAGUUAAACAGUACGUGAAAUUGUUGAAAGGGAAACGAUUGAAG